rnacentral:tRNA from 1 species
GAGGGUAAAGCUCAGUGGUGGAGUGUGUGUUUAGCAAGCAUAGGGUCCUGAGUUCAAUCCCCAGCACCUCCA